AGCGAACGCUGGCGGCAGGCCUAACACAUGCAAGUCGAACGAACCUUUCGGGGUUAGUGGCGGACGGGUGAGUAACACGUGGGAACGUGCCGUUAGGUUCGGAAUAACUCAGGGAAACUUGUGCUAAUACCGAAUGUGCCCUUCUGGGGAAAGAUUAAUCGCCUUUAGAGCGGCCCGCGUCUGAUUAGCUAGGUGGGUGAGGUAAUGGCUCACCAAGGCGACGAUCAGUAGCUGGUCUGAGAGGAUGAUCAGCCACAUUGGGACUGAGACACGGCCCAAACUCCUACGGGAGGCAGCAGUGGGGAAUCUUGCGCAAUGGGCGAAAGCCUGACGCAGCCAUGCCGCGUGAAUGAUGAAGGUCUUAGGAUUGUAACAUUCUUUCACCGGGGACGAUAAUGACGGUACCCGGAGAAGAAGCCCCGGCUAACUUCGUG
rnacentral:rRNA from 1 species